AUAAAUAAAAGAAAAUUUCUUCAAACAUUUUUUUGAGAGGAUUAAUAUUCAACAGCAUAGUGAAUUGCUCAAAGGUAAAAAAAAUAUUUUAAGUUCAUUAGACCACAUUCAUUCUGUGUCCGAAACCUAUGCUGUGUCAACUAUUUAAUCACAAUCCAAAUUUAGAGCUGAAUCCAGCUUGAAUGUUGUGUCCAUACUUGCCCCAACCGUUCUGGGUUCAACCUCUGCAGUCGUAUAAAGCUGCGCCCUGCGGAG
rnacentral:lncRNA from 1 species